GCCGCAGGUCGCAGGUAAGACUCCCCUGCCUCUCUCCUAAAGCGGGUGUCGCAGGUUCGAAUCCUGCCGGGGGCA
rnacentral:tRNA from 1 species